GUGGGAACCUCAUUCCCCCGGGGGGAGGCCUCCCUGGGGUGGUACCCAGCGGAGGCCGCCUGUGCCAGCUCUUGCAAGGGCUGCGAUGGAUUUUUUGAGGGGGCGGGGAGGGGGCGCCCUCACUGGGCAGCGCCCCACCUCGGCGCCUUCGUGGGACCGAACCCCUCCAAGCACCUCCGACUGGGGGCGCGCGGGGGGUGGGGUGCGGUUAGGCUCCCGAGUUCCAGCCGGCGUCGCACAGCCUCCCGGGGCAGGAGACCUUGCCGUUCCGCCACCAACCAGCCUUGCAGACAAUGCCAGGAGCACGGGAUGGAGAAACUGAGGAACCGAGCCACCGCGCGCGGCUUCAACAAACGUCUUUCCCAAGUCGGCCGGGGGGGACCAGCCGGGCCCGAUUCUCAGAAUCUCAAAGCCUCCAACGAAUUUCGAUGUGAAGCUCACGUGCGAAUGAGCUUUCCCACUGGAAACCGCAGCCCCACCGAAACGGUUAACAUUUCGAGCGAACCCCCCCCCCCCCCCCAGUCCCUUCCAUACCCUGGGCUCACAGCGGGUCUCCCGCUUUACAACUUUAGUUCGUGUCUGCAAACUGCUGGGCAUUCAAAGGGUUAAAAGGGACCCGGCGGGGGCCCGCUGCGCUGGGCGGGGUGUCCCGAAAGGGUUAAAAUUAUCAACGCCUUCAUUCCCCGGGACCAUCCUGUUCAGCGCGGGCAGCCUCGGGGCCAGGAGAGCCGGGGAGCCCCCCCCCGCCCCCCCACGGAAUGACUUCUUAAAAUUCUAGAACUUUUAAUUCCAACCAACCAAAAAAAAAAAAAAAGAAAGAAAGAAAAAAAAGUGUCCCAGUUCGAAAGUUCUUUUAACCUUUUCUUUUUUCAUUUAUUUUAUUAUUUUUUUCUCUCGGUUUCUCCGCGGGCUAGAUUAUAAAACUCGCCGCCUCCGUGUGGGUUCGAGGAGCCAGGUUCCCCCCUCCGGGCCAGCGCGCGGGGCGGGGGCCGAGGGGGGCCCCGGGACUUCUCUCCGGGGCCGGGUUGGGACGCGGCUGCUGAGUCCCGGCUCCGGCCCCUGAAUUGGGGGGUCCGCGUCUGCCCCAAAC
rnacentral:lncRNA from 1 species